GUUGUAUGGUUAAGUGACUAAGCGUACACGGUGGAUGCCUUGGCAGUCAGAGGCGAUGAAGGACGUAUUAACUUGCGAUAAGCCCAGAUUAGGCAGUAAAAGCCACUUGAGUCUGGGAUUUCCGAAUGGGGAAACCCACUAGCAUAAGCUAGUAUCGCUGCGUGAAUACAUAGCGCAG
rnacentral:rRNA from 1 species